CUUUGAGUGUUAGUUAACACUCUUAUCCUAAUACUCUUAUCCUUAUUGUGUAUAGAUUUUAAUUACAAUUUUGCAGCAUUCUACAUCUUAACCCUGCCACCUUGUCCCUCUUAACCUUCUGUGUCCAGUAUUCCAGUUGUACAUGUCAUCAGUGAGCACCACAAAAGAUUCUACUAUUAUAUAUAGAAAGUUGAGAACUGAACCACAUGUGAGAGAAACCCCACCUCUGAGCAGA